AUCUAUGGCCAUGCCAGCCUGAACGAGCCCGACCCCGUCUGAUCUCGGAAACUAAGCAGAGUCAGGCCUGAUUAGUACUUGGAUGGGAGACCACCUAGGAAGACCAGGUGCUGUAGGUG
rnacentral:rRNA from 1 species